rnacentral:rRNA from 1 species
CCCUUAGAUGUUCUGGGCUGCACGCGCGCGACAAUGACGUUUGCAACGAGAUUGCGAGGCCGUCAGGUCGAGCUGAUCUUGCAAGCUGCGUCGUGAUAGGGACAGUCGAUUGCAAUUAUUCGACUCGAACGAGGAAUUCCUUGUAAUCGCGCAUCAUCAGUGCGCGCUGAAUACGUCCCUGCCCUUUGUACACACCGCCCGUCGCUCCUACCGAUUGAGUGAUCCAGUGAAUGUUUUGGAUCGGCUUCAAGUUGGUUCGCGCCUCUUGCUUGCUGUGAAAUCAUGUAAACCUUAUUGCUUAGAGGAAGGAGAAGUCGUAACA